rnacentral:rRNA from 1 species
GGAUGCCUUGGCAGUCAGAGGCGAUGAAAGACGUGAUAGCCUGCGAAAAGCUCCGGGGAGGCGGCAAAUAUCCUUUGAUCCGGAGAUGUCUGAAUGGGGGAACCCACCUACUUUAAGGUAGGUAUUGCAACAUGAAUACAUAGUGUUGCAAGGCGAACGAGGGGAAGUGAAACAUCUCAGUACCCUUAGGAAAAGAAAUCAAUUGAGAUUCCCUCAGUAGCGGCGAGCGAACGGGGAUCAGCCCAUUAAGUUAUGUGUGUUUUAGUGGAACGCUCUGGGAAGUGCGAACGUAGAGGGUGAUAUUCCCGUACACGAAAGGGCACACAUAAUGAUGACGAGUAGGGCGAGGCACGUGAAACCUUGUCUGAAUAUGGGGGGACCAUCCUCCAAGGCUAAAUACUCCUGACUGACCGAUAGUGAACCAGUACCGUGAGGGAAAGGCGAAAAGAACCCCUGUGAGGGGAGUGAAAUAGAUCCUGAAACCGCAUGCAUACAAGCAGUGGGAGCACCUUCGUGGUGUGACUGCGUACCUUUUGUAUAAUGGGUCAGCGACUUAUAUUCAGUAGCGAGGUUAACCGUAUAGGGGAGCCGUAGAGAAAUCGAGUCUUAAUAGGGCGUUUAGUUGCUGGGUAUAGACCCGAAACCAGGCGAUCUAUCCAUGAGCAGGUUGAAGGUUGGGUAACACUAACUGGAGGACCGAACCCACUGUCGUUGAAAAGCCAGGGGAUGACUUGUGGAUAGGGGUGAAAGGCUAAUCAAGCCUGGUGAUAGCUGGUUCUCCCCGAAAGCUAUUUAGGUAGCGCCUCGGACGAAUACCAUAGGGGGUAGAGCACUGUUUCGGCUAGGGGGUCAUCCCGACUUACCAAACCGAUGCAAACUCCGAAUACCUAUGAGUACUAUCCGGGAGACAGACUGCGGGUGCUAACGUCCGUAGUCAAGAGGAAAACAAUCCAGACCGCCAGCUAAGGCCCCAAAAUCAUAGUUAAGUGGGAAACGAUGUGGGAAGGCAUAGACAGCUAGGAGGUUGGCUUAGAAGCAGCCACCCUUUAAAGAAAGCGUAAUAGCUCACUAGUCGAGUCGGCCUGCGCGGAAGAUGUAACGGGGCUAAAACUAUGUGCCGAAGCUGCGGAUGUAUACUUUGUAUACGUGGUAGGGGAGCGUUCUGUAAGCCGAUGAAGGUGUGUUGAGAAGCAUGCUGGAGGUAUCAGAAGUGCGAAUGCUGACGUGAGUAACGACAAAACGGGUGAAAAACCCGUUCGCCGAAAGACCAAGGGUUCCAGUCCAACGUUAAUCGGGGCUGGGUGAGUCGACCCCUAAGGCGAGGCCGAAAGGCGUAGUCGAUGGGAAAAUGGUUAAUAUUCCAUUACUUCUGUGUAAUGCGAUGAGAGGACGGAGAAGGCUAAAUCAGCCUGGCGUUGGUUGUCCAGGUGAAAGGAUGUAGGCAUGUAUCUUAGGCAAAUCCGGGGUACUCUAUGCUGAGAUCUGAUAGCAAGCUGUACUUGUACAGCGAAGUGGUUGAUGCCAUGCUUCCAGGAAAAGUCUCUAAGCUUCAGUUACACAGGAAUCGUACCCGAAACCGACACAGGUGGUCAGGUCGAGUAGACCAAGGCGCUUGAGAGAACUCUGCUGAAGGAACUAGGCAAAAUGGUACCGUAACUUCGGGAGAAGGUACGCUGUUGUUGGUGAUGGAACUCGCUUCCUGAGCUGACGACAGCCGCAGAAACCAGGCCGCUGCAACUGUUUAUUAAAAACAUAGCACUCUGCAAACACGAAAGUGGACGUAUAGGGUGUGAUGCCUGCCCGGUGCUGGAAGGUUAAUUGAUGGGGUUAGCGUAAGCGAAGCUCUUGAUCGAAGCCCCAGUAAACGGCGGCCGUAACUAUAACGGUCCUAAGGUAGCGAAAUUCCUUGUCGGGUAAGUUCCGACCUGCACGAAUGGCAUAAUGAUGGCGGCGCUGUCUCCAGCAGAGGCUCAGUGAAAUCGAAAUCGCUGUGAAGAUGCAGUGUACCCGCGGCUAGACGGAAAGACCCCGUGAACCUUUACUGCAGCUUGACACUGAACUUUGACCUUACUUGUGUAGGAUAGGUGGGAGGCUUUGAAGCUGGAACGCUAGUUCCAGUGGAGCCGUCCUUGAAAUACCACCCUGGUAAUGUUGAGGUUCUAACUCUGUCCCGUGAUCCGGGACGAGGACCGUGUCUGGUGGGUAGUUUGACUGGGGCGGUCUCCUCCUAAAGAGUAACGGAGGAGUACGAAGGUGCGCUCAGCGUGGUCGGAAAUCACGCGUAGAGUAUAAAGGCAAAAGCGCGCUUAACUGCGAGACCCACAAGUCGAGCAGGUACGAAAGUAGGUCUUAGUGAUCCGGUGGUUCUGUAUGGAAGGGCCAUCGCUCAACGGAUAAAAGGUACUCUGGGGAUAACAGGCUGAUACCGCCCAAGAGUUCAUAUCGACGGCGGUGUUUGGCACCUCGAUGUCGGCUCAUCUCAUCCUGGGGCUGAAGCAGGUCCCAAGGGUAUGGCUGUUCGCCAUUUAAAGAGGUACGCGAGCUGGGUUUAGAACGUCGUGAGACAGUUCGGUCCCUAUCUACCGUGGGCGCUGGAAAUUUGAGAGGAUCUGCUCCUAGUACGAGAGGACCAGAGUGGACGAACCUCUGGUGUACCGGUUGUGACGCCAGUCGCAUCGCCGGGUAGCUAUGUUCGGAAGGGAUAACCGCUGAAAGCAUCUAAGCGGGAAGCCUACCUCAAGAUAAGAUUUCCCUAGGACUUUAUGUCCUCUAAAGAGCCGUUCGAGACUAGGACGUUGAUAGGUUGGAUGUGGAAGCAUAGUGAUAUGUGAAGCUGACCAAUACUAAUUGCUCGUGAGGCUUGACUAUACAACACCCAAGCAGUUG